rnacentral:siRNA from 1 species
CGGCCUAAUUCGACAGAAUCCU